CCACCACCCACCGCGCCAGGGCGCCACUGCCACGCCACGGGAGCCACGGGUCAUCGCCUUGUCGCCGGACCGAAAACACACGAAGACCGGAGGAAGACUCCAUCUGACUCCAUUAUUAUGUCACAUUAUAUCCAGUGUCGGUUGUUCUCGCCAAUCCAGUUCGUCCGCAUUGCAGUUGGCAGGCAGGGCGCUACCGCUGCCGCGGCCGCGCCAUGCCACGCCACGGAGUGCGGACUCCAGCGAAGCAUGCGCGAAGGAUGGCUGCGAGGACUGCUCUGCUACACCUGUAAUUUCGGGGAAAUUUACGAGGUCUCUCGCGGUGCCCGGCCGCGGCUUGCUUCGAUGAGGUGUCGUCACUUCGCCGCUCAGGAGGUAGUACACGGCGGGCCCGCCAUCUGCUCCCCGACCGGCUCUUUUGCGCCCGACGCCACGGACAAGGUGAGCCCCGCCAGCCCACACCCG